rnacentral:lncRNA from 1 species
AGAAGGGCUUUUGAUCAGAUCCAGUACGACAGUUUCUAGGCUCCUGACUUUUGUUUGCCCCUUGACUGGUUGCUGUUCUAUUUUGUAGGAAAUUUAACAAUGUUGCAGGCUUAUCUGCUACAAUGGUCUAAUGACGAGAUUCAGAAAAUAACGUAUAACAAGAAUAUCAGGCACUAGAUUUCUAAGAAUUGUAGAACACUAUCUCUACGUUGGAUUAUUUUAUUUACCUGCAUUAUUUUCAUCAGGGUCACUGUAGAUGGAAGCCAGGAUAAACAAGGAGAAAAUGACAAAAGCCAACAAGAUGAAAGCUGUUUCAAGUUGCCAUUCUUUGGUCUGGAUUGGAGAUUUCUGUCUCCUUACCCCUAUGGAGCACCUUACUACAAAGACCCAAAUCUUCAGGCUUUUAUUGAGGCUUUGCUUAGGCAUGAGGAUUUAGGCCUAUAAGCAAAGUUUCAUUCUGAGUUCACUCAAAAACUGUUUCCACUGUAAAUGUGUGUGUAUUCUGUAAUUGUCAAUCAACUUAAAAUAGAUUUGAUGUUAAUGUGAAGAAAGGCAAAAAUGAUUCAGUUAAUAUAUUAUAUCUAUGUUAUUCACACACACUGAACAAUAUGAUGCACAAUUUCUCGUUUUCCUAUGCAUUUUACGCAGAUAAUCUGGUUUGAGAUUUCCUUUAGACUCCUAAAAAGUAAGGUUAUGAUUUCAAUUUGUUCCUUUUUUUAUUAAAGCCUCAGUACCUCUUGGGCCUGAUUUCACCUUUCCACCCUCUUCUAAAAUCCUGUCCCUUUGGUAUUUUUAAAGUGCCCCCUCCUAUGUCAGAUAAUAUAGACAUUUAAAGGUGAUCGUUGUGGACAUAAUGAUUUCCUCCUACCCCUUAGCUUUAAGUGGGGAAGGACUACCAGUACUGUUUUCAAUUUUUACUUUUGAUGUAUUGUC